rnacentral:misc_RNA from 1 species
GAUGAGAACGUAGCGAAAUGCGAUAAGUAAUGUGAAUUGCAGAAUUCAGUGAAUCAUCGAAUCUUUGAACGCACAUUGCGCCCGCCAGUAUUCUGGCGGGCAUGCCUGUCCGAGCGUCAUUUCAACCCUCGGGACCCUUCGGGGAACCGGUGUUGGGGACCCGUCCGCCGACCCACGGCGGCCGGCCCCGAAAUACAGUGGCGGCCCUGCGGCGACCUCCUCUGCGUAGUAGCGAUACCUCGCAGCUGGAAAGCGGCAGCGGCCACGCCGUAAAACCCCCACUUCUAUGGUUGACCUCGGAUCAGGUAGGAAUACCCGCUGAACUUAAGCAUAUCAAUAAGCGGAGGA